AUUGAACGCUGGCGGCAGGCUUAACACAUGCAAGUCGAGCGGAGAGAGGUAGCUUGCUACUGAUCUUAGCGGCGGACGGGUGAGUAAUACUUAGGAAUCUGGCUAUUAGUGGGGGACAACAUUUCGAAAGGGAUGCUAAUACCGCAUACGUCCUACGGGAGAAAGCAGGGGAUCUUCGGACCUUGCGCUAAUAGAUGAGCCUAAGUCGGAUUAGCUAGUUGGUGGGGUAAAGGCCUACCAAGGCGACGAUCUGUAGCGGGUCUGAGAGGAUGAUCCGCCACACUGGGACUGAGACACGGCCCAGACUCCUACGGGAGGCAGCAGUGGGGAAUAUUGGACAAUGGGGGGAACCCUGAUCCAGCCAUGCCGCGUGUGUGAAGAAGGCCUUAUGGUUGUAAAGCACUUUAAGCGAGGAGGAGGGUGCUGGUAUUAAUACUACCAGGUACUGGACGUUACUCGCAGAAUAAGCACCGGCUAACUCUGUG
rnacentral:rRNA from 1 species